CAGUAGCCGCGGUAAUACGAAGGGUGCAAGCGUUACUCGGAAUCACUGGGCGUAAAGGGUGCGUAGGCGGGUCUUUAAGUCAGAGGUGAAAUCCUGGAGCUCAACUCCAGAACUGCCUUUGAUACUGAGGAUCUUGAGUUCGGGAGAGGUGAGUGGAACUGCGAGUGUAGAGGUGAAAUUCGUAGAUAUUCGCAAGAACACCAGUGGCGAAGGCGGCUCACUGGCCCGAUACUGACGCUGAGGCACGAAAGCGUGGGGAGCAAACAGGAUUAGAUACCCCCGUAGUCCCUGUCUCUUAUAC
rnacentral:rRNA from 1 species